GCGGGUGUGGCGAAAUGGUAGACGCAACGGACUUAAAAUCCGUAGGACUUCAAUGUCUGUGCCGGUUCAAGUCCGGCCACCCGCACCA
rnacentral:tRNA from 1 species